rnacentral:rRNA from 1 species
AACGAACGCUGGCGGCAGGCUUAACACAUGCCAGUCGAACGCACCUUUCGGGGUGAGUGGCAGACGGGGGAGUAACGCGUGGGAAUCUACCCUUCUCUACGGUAUAGCUCCGGGAAACUGGACUUAAUACCGUAUACGUCCUUAGGGAGAAAGAUUUAUCGGGGCAGGAUGAGCGCGCGUUGGAUUAGCUAGUUGGUGGGGUAAAGGCCUGCCAAGGCGACGAUCCAUAGCUGGUCUAAGAGGAUGCUCAGCUAGAUUGGGGCUGAGACCCGGCCCAACCUCGUACGCGAGGGAGCAGUGGGGAAUAUUGGACACUGGGGGCAAGUGUGACCACGCCACGCGGGGUGAGUGAUGAAGGGCGUAGGGUUGUACAGCUCUUUCAGUGGGGACGAUAAUGACGGUACCCACAGAAGAAGCCCCGGCUAACUUCGUG